GAAUGCUGACAUAAGUAACGAUAAUGCGGGUGAAAAACCCGCACGCCGGAAGACCAAGGGUUCCUGUCCAACGUUAAUCGGGGCAGGGUGAGUCGACCCCUAAGGCGAGGCCGAAAGGCGUAGUCGAUGGGAAACAGGUUAAUAUUCCUGUACUUGGUGUUACUGCGAAGGGGGGACGGAGAAGGCUAUGUUAGCCGGGCGACGGUUGUCCCGGUUUAAGCAUGUAGGCGGAGGUUCCAGGUAAAUCCGGUACCUUUUUAACGCUGAGGUGUGAUGACGAGGCACUACGGUGCUGAAGUAACAAAUGCCCUGCUUCCAGGAAAAGCCUCUAAGCAUCAGGUAACACGAAAUCGUACCCCAAACCGACACAGGUGGUCAGGUAGAGAAUACCAAGGCGCUUGAGAGAACUCGGGUGAAGGAACUAGGCAAAAUGGUGCCGUAACUUCGGGAGAAGGCACGCUGAUAUGUAGGUGAAGUGAUUUACUCAUGGAGCUGAAAUCAGUCGAAGAUACCAGCUGGCUGCAACUGUUUAUUAAAAACACAGCACUGUGCAAACACGAAAGUGGACGUAUACGGUGUGACGCCUGCCCGGUGCCGGAAGGUUAAUUGAUGGGGUUAUCCGUAAGGAGAAGCUCUUGAUCGAAGCCCCGGUAAACGGCGGCCGUAACUAUAACGGUCCUAAGGUAGCGAAAUUCCUUGUCGGGUAAGUUCCGACCUGCACGAAUGGCGUAAUGAUGGCCAGGCUGUCUCCACCCGAGACUCAGUGAAAUUGAACUCGCUGUGAAGAUGCAGUGUACCCGCGGCAAGACGGAAAGACCCCGUGAACCUUUACUAUAGCUUGACACUGAACACUGGUCCUUGAUGUGUAGGAUAGGUGGGAGGCUUUGAAGUGUGGACGCCAGUCUGCAUGGAGCCAUCCUUGAAAUACCACCCUUUAAUGGCUGGUGUUCUAACGUGGACCCGUUACCCGGGUUGCGGACAGUGUCUGGUGGGUAGUUUGACUGGGGCGGUCUCCUCCUAAAGAGUAACGGAGGAGCACGAAGGUUAGCUAAUCUUGGUCGGACAUCAGGAGGUUAGUGCAAAGGCAUAAGCUAGCUUGACUGCGAGAGUGACGG
rnacentral:rRNA from 1 species